GUGACAGGGGUUCAGUUUUCUGCACUGGGCCCCAGGAAAUCUAACACUGACCCUACUUGGCAGACCCCCUGUCUUAGGGAAUAAGGUACAAAUUAGUGCACGUGAAACAUUCAAUCCCUAUCUACUACUGCUUAUUACAAUCUUAGGACUUCCACUUCCUGUAUGCAAGGUAUAUUUAGGGAAUACUAAGGCUAACACAAUUUCACUGGGAAGCAGUUAAGGUUGCUACUACCAACCUGCCUGACCCAACUUCUUUGUGUUUUGCUUUUGGGGGUUUAAGCCAUCUAACAGUAUGCACCCUAUCUGCUACAGCUGCUAUACACUACAGACCAGUCCCCCCACAGCCUUCCCUUGGCUCUGUUUACUCUUUUGCAGAUCUUCUCUAAACACUUGCACAUGUUAGCUGUUGGGGGAAAGAGUAGAUUGGUCUAAUUUAAUCAAACACCAAGCUUAUUCUAAAAUAAGAGCAUCAACACACACACUACUCUCUAGGGAAACCUACCACCCUCUAGAGCAUGUGUGAUACCAAAGAAACUAUCACUUGGUACAAUCACUCUUAAUAAACCUCCAAUUCUUGAGCAAACUAGCUGAAGUGGAUCCUGUGACAAGCUUCUAACUAACUUCUAACUAACAUUGCUAGUACUAAUUCCUAGAGUUGUCUGUGCAAGAAUGAGCAGGCAAGCAGAGAAAACAUUAAGAUGGAAGUCUGUUCCAUUUUCCUUUUAUGCGCUGAGAUAUCUAAUGCAGACCUGCUUUCCCAAUUGCUCUUGGUGGGUAACUUGUAGCAAACUCCUCUUCCUCAUCUAAUGCUUUGUUAGUUUUUAAGGCUCAAAUCCAAGAUUAUCAAAAAUAGGGGCCUAAGAUUAGGCUCCCAGAUAAAUCUUUUAGGCACAUUUCAAAAUCUCACCCUUACAGCCAGUUUUGAAAAGACUUUAGCCAGCAAGGGUUAGGCCCCCCAACGGGGCCGUAGGCUCACUCUAACAGUUAGGCACCUUCCUUCCCCAUGGAAUCCACAGCCCAGAGUCAGAGGGCUCGACACUCUAUCCAACACAGGGGGGAGAGGUAGGUGCUCAAGAAUGGGAUUCGAAGAACCCAACAAGCUGAGGGGGAGCUAUCUAAGCUAGCCAGGAGUGAAAUGGGAAGUGCCUAUCUCCUGCUCAGCCCUUUCUCACUAAUAUGGAGGUGAUGGUAGAUAUGCCCUCCUCCCCCACAAAAAAACCCACCCUGCUGCUAACCAACAGCCCUGUAGUUAGAGCGCUCACCUGGGAUGUGGGAGACCAGGGUUUAAAUCUUCACUCUGCCUGAUUUGGAUGAGGUACUUGAACCUCAACAAAGAAUCAACAUAGCAGUCCUCAGAACAGAAAGUAGCUGUACAAUGGAUUGAUUAAGUUUACAGACUAGAUGUGGACAUGCUCAGUUGAAAGUGUGCUAUUGCAUGUCAAGAGGAGGGGCUAGCGGACACGAUGCUCCCUUAGUGGGAGCAUUGUUACCUAGAGCAGCCAAAUUUCACUGGUCAGUGCAGUCUCAAAAAUCCAUUUUAAUUGUAUGUGCAGUUGAGCAAGUUUCUGCUGUACUGUAUACAUGUUUACUAAAUCUAUUAUGCUAACUUCCAGUGACAAUUAAGCAUAAAAGGGGGAUUUUAGUUGGUGUUAAUUCACUAUAUACAUGUACCAGCUCUUUAUUCUAGACCAACCUUCACAAAAGCAGGCUUACAACCUUCUUCCCACAACUCAGCAGAGAGCCGCUUGCUGGCGAAAGUGGUUAACCUGCAAGCCGUUCAAUGCUGGAGCUAAGGCCCCCAGUGGGAGGUUAGGUUACCAGUGACAAAUGUUUUGCAUUCUUUUGAAUGGUGUGUCUACUAUAAGAGUUUGUCCACUUAUGGAAAACCACCCUAGAAGCGGUUGCUGGCAGAAAUGUAGGAUCAGAAUAGCUCAGGCUGUUACUAAGCAGAAGAGAAAUGCACCAACAAAAUAGUAUCAGAGAACAGAAUAGGAAAAAUCCUAUUGGCUGGCAGUCUGGAACAGCCAACACUAGAGUCCAGAUAUGUACAGUUACUUAUGGCUUGAGCCAUAAAGGGACUUAGGCACCUAAGUCCAACAUUUAGGUACAACUGAGAUCCUCAAAAUCUGCCUAGCUGCCACCAAACCUUGAAGGCAAUUAAAUGCCCUAGGCACCGAUGUUUGUGCUAGAAGGCAUGCUCAAAAGUCACUUAAGGCCCAGUGGGAUUCUUAUACUAGGCAUUCUCUUGCAUAUCUAGCCUGCCAGGCCUGAUCCCAGGGGCAUGCUCAGAGAACACACGUAACCCACCCAAAAGAGAGCCAGAGGUUAUCAGCUCAGGAAGACAGUAUAAUAUGUGUAUAUCUGCACCAGAAAAACCAAAAGCCUGGUGCUCAGUGCACUCACUAUGAUUAUGGGAGAGCCAAGUUCAAGUCAGGCAGAGCAGGGAUUUGAAAAAAUGUUUUCACAUCCUAGGUGAGUGAUCUAACCACUGGACUAUGACUCCCACUCCAUUAUAGCCAACUCUCUCUCUCAUUUUUCUCAGCAAAGGACUGACCUGGCGAAGGUGCCUAACUCCAGAAGAGGGUUCACAGCUGUGAAUCCUGAGCAGAGCCAAAAGUUAGGCACUCAACUAUCUUUGAGAGGUGGGACCUAAACCCUCCUCUGCCUUUCUUAGGAAACACCCCACUCAUCUUGCUUACUUCUGAGAAUCCCUCUUAGGCCCCUAAUUCUUCCCAGACCAUGCAUAGGGAUCCUGCAUGUCUAACUGGGCAGCAGGGUCCUCAGCAUUCUAACACCCAAGUCCCCUUUGUGGAUUUAGCCCUGAGUGCCUGCUAAGCUAUUGCCCUACACUUCAAAAUCUUCUUGCACUCUGCCCAACCUGCAGCAUCUGAACCAAGGCUGAAAACCAAACCUGACUUCCUGCUUCAUUUUUAUUAUAAUCACCACCCCAUGCAGAAGAAAUACAUGAGUUAACUACCUGGACUGGCACUUCUAGUAUUAAAUUACUUAUACAGCAGGAGCACCGACAGGCCACAGUGAGGAGUGGAGCCCUAUUUGCACUAGGCCGUGUACAAACACACAGGAAGUCUCUGUCCCUUGCCCCAGAGUGCUUGCACUAUAAUUUAAAACAAAAUGCAAAAAGUAACUAACAAACACAAAUAAAGGGGUAGGAAUGGGAAAAAAACCACACAACUAUAACAUAAGCACAGAGCUGCUCUACAGAAACACAACUGGAUGGUGAAUUAAUAAAAAUAGCAGCAACCCCAUUGUUCUGCACUGGUUCACUGCCAGGCCCUUAUGUAGAUUUCCUGUCCCAGAUCACACAGUUACCUCACAUACACCAACAGGAAUGUAUGGUGUAUAUGCAGUCUCCUGCAGUACAGUGCAAGAUACAAUUCCCCAACAUCUUUGCAGGGACAGUUUCUAACAUGCUACUGGCAAGUGGAUUUUUCCAGUUCUGAGAAUGGCAAAAGCAUGUUAUGUUGUUUGGGCUGGUAUUUUUUUAGCUGAGGGUUUUAAACAUCUGAAAUCAUCAUCAGGAAUACAUCAAAAUGAACUUUUGUUUGAAGAGCAUGUGUCUAAAUGAGACAGAAAAAAAAUCCUAGCUCCUUGAUACUCCAAGUAUCCAAGAGAGUAGGAAGACUGCAUAUAAGAGCAUGUUAUUUCAUUUUAGUUCUCCUGCAAGAAUUGGAAUAAGUCAUCCUUCAAAGAGCAACAGCACAAGUAGUACAGAGAUUUCUAACUGUGGUCACCCCUUUUUUAUUUUUUAAAGGAAUGGUGGAAUCCCACCAUGUGGAAGCUACUACUGCUACAACACAUAUCCUAAAGGAGGGAACACAGCUAAACCAUUGCUACAGCUGCCAGAGAUGUUCUGUGAUUGCCAAUGGGAAAAGGUGGUGCAAAGGAAAAUCUGUUCUCAAAUGUCGUCCACAUCAUUUAAAAAACAACAACUACAUAUAGGCUCAUCCUAGAUUCAAUUAAAUAUUGAUAUUCUCGCUAUCUAGGGAGGAAAAUAUCUACCACAGUGUGAUGGGGUGUACACUCCACACUGACCCUGCAAGAGUUGAAUUACACCAAGUGGCCUCAAUCAGCCAAUUAGGCUGCACUCUGGGAGAAUUAAGCCUGAGGGGGAAGCUCACCUGUGUGGGAGCAGGCAGGGCUUAUAGAAAGACAACAAACUGUGGGGAGGUAAGUAUGCAGUCAUUCCCUAGGAGGAAGGGGGUGUAUAGAGACAAAUAGCUCAUGGUUACUCCCUGGGAGGAGGGAGUUGAGAAGCUGGCAAACCCAGAGGAGUGGGGAGGGCCAACAGGUAAGGGAGAGGCUCAGGGAAAGGCAGCAAGGCACAGGAGGGAACCCACCUUGGCUACUAUUUAGAGGGUCCCUCAGCCAGAACCCAGAGUAGAGGGCAGGCUUGGGUUCCCCUACCAGCCACUGAGGGACUGGCACCUGGGGUAGCAAAUGGGAGCACUGCCUGAAACUGCUGGUGAGCAGGGACUUUGAUUCACAUCCCUGGAAGGGGAAACCACAUAGUGACCUGGCCCAAGGGCUGAGUCACAAAGAGGACUCUGCAGUUCCUGGAGUGAGAGAGUGGCAGACUACAACUACUAGAAGGGGUGUCAGCCUGGCAGAGCUGAUCCCCAGAACUGCCAGGAGGUGCCAUCCUGCAAAGAGCAGUGCUCCCGUCACACACAGUAACAUGUGGGAGACUCAGACUGACAUCUGUAAGUACAAACAUUAUAACCAAAACAUGCUUGCAUUCAUCUACUGGACAACUGUAAUUAUGAAGCCAAAUAGGGAGAUUAGAAGGAAUAUCCUUUGGUGCUGAUACAACAUAGAGAGUGUUUCCUCUACCAACAGGCAGCCAGAUUUACAACCUUUGCACAAGGCUUGAUCCUUCUCAGCAUCCCUGUCGUACUCACUGCCAUGGCUUGCAUUUUACACCCCCCUCCCUCUCGAAGUGGAGCAGUACAAAGCAUUCUCCCAUUAAAAUUCUGGUUAAAACUGCAUUUGUGAAGUAGGCCAUGUUCCUGUGCUCUCCCCAACAGUCAGCAGCUAGGAUGACCAUAGAUGGAGCAUGUUUGGCAACCAAAUGACCCAGAUGCUAAGUUCCGAGCCAUCUUUCCAGCUGCAGUAUCCGAUGCCUCAGCUGUUGACUGUCAAGCUGUCCCCCAGACGUGUGCCAAGCACACAUCUCAAAGCUUUGAGGGAAAUGCAGUGAAUGCUCCUGCUGCGAAAAAGGACAAGGAAGACAAAGAGUUUAAAAACAAGUAGAGAAGGAAACAACAAACAUUUUGUUCUUCCCUAUUCCCCAGUUCUUCACAAUUUUUGCUUUGCUUUGCUUUCCUUUAUCAGGAAGAGCGUAAGUGGUUAGCAGGACCAGGUUACCACAUCCUCUUUUCAUCCCCUUGAGGGCAAGGAGCUGAAUCCUUGGGUAAUCUUUAGUGAUGAAAGGGGAGGUGCAAACAGGUGUUUCCUUUGUUGAAUUUCAUUAGUCAUCAUUUUAAGCUAAUUUCCCAAAGGUGUCUUUAAACAAGUUUUUGCCAGAAAAUGGUGGAAAAAGUUCUUCUACAAUUUUCGAUUUACUAUUUGCAUUUCAAGCUUGAUUUGAAUCCCAUUUUGUCAUUAAAAGAAAUCGUUCCUUUAGGGUUAUGAUCCCUGGUGCAUCAUCACUGCCCUAAUCUGAAUCUUAAAUUGACUCAGACUACUGCAUAAUCAUCUCUGGAGAAGGGAUAUCUGAACUGUAGCACAAAGGCUUUUUGUAGCUGUUAUCACUUCAGAUUUGUUUCAUUAUAAUCUCUUGAACAAAAGUUACUUCCAACAAGUUCUAUGCAUUCCUGAGAACAGUAAGCCUAAAAAAAAAAAACCCAAACAAACACACACACCACUUAUUUUUGAUUUGAGGGCAGUUGGCCCAUGUUCUCAAACCUGGGUGUCUAAAGUUAGCCCCUUAAAUCCAUAUUAAGAUGCAUCAACAAAAGUAGACUAGUUUUCAAAAGUGUAGCUUCAAUGGCACUUAUGCAUAUUCUAUAUUUCUGUGCCUUGCUAUGGAUUUAUGGGGCUAACUUUAGGCACUCAGGUUUGAAAUGUUGACUUGGUAUCUCUUACCUAUGUUGCUUUGUCUGGCGCAGCAGUCCCAAGCACUCCUGAAGGACACAGACACCACUCCCUCAGAGUAAGCACCUUCAAAUGUACCAUUCAUUUUGGAGGGAAAACUUUUCAGGAAUAGCAACCUGAACCUACAAAUGCCACUUGCAGAUUUUGGGUAUAUAUUUUAUAUGCACAUACACAAACUGUACCUGUUAGAGCUCUUGAAAAACAACAUCAACAACAACAUUGCAUAAGGGAAAAUUUGUUUCCCAGAAUAUCACAUUUACUGGUGAUUGAUGAAAUAGCUCAUGCAGGAAUUUAAACAUAAACCCUUCAAAUUAAAUGAAAGAUGAUCUUAUGAUUAAAGGGAAGACUAUCAACUCAAAUUUGGCCCCAAAUAUUGAUUUUGUGUUUAAAACAAAAAAGCUUCCACAAAACACACGAUUCACAAUUCAAACAUUGAGAACCUUAAAGGGAAAUUAACUUCCUCCAUUUCUGUGUCCAUGCUGGAAGAAUUUCAAAAAGUGAAAAGCACCGAUCAUAAAAAGUUAACUAGAUUUUAAAAAUUCAUUCAGUUUUAACAAGCUACGGUGUGAUCAGUACCAACAAUUUUUGUUUAAAGUAAGAUUUCUUUAAUGUGACAUUGCUCUUAUAGGGCACAGAACUGUGCAUCAGAUCUGGGCUGAAAUCCUGGCCUCACUGAAGUUAAUAAUUUCUCUUCCUGCCUCUGACACACACGUCCUAUGUGACCUUGGCCAAGCCACUUAAUGGUCUGUGCCUCAGUUUCUCUAUCUGUACAAUGAGGGUUUGCAAAGCUCUGCAGGAUCUUUGGAUGGAAGAAUUGUCAUCUUAUUUCUUCAGAUUUAUAAAAUAUAGUUAUAGGCACACAUCCUAUAAAGUAUCACAAACUAAAUAAUAGAAAAGGGCUACCAAAGAAAUGAACACCCCAACCCUCCGCCCAUUUCCUCCACAAUAGCCUGAGAAAAUGGCGGCUUUGCACCAGACAUGAAAUAUUAACAAAAUGUGGGCUCUCGCAAGCCCAGGGAAAAGAAAAUUCCAAAACCAAGGACCCAUUAUAAAGAGUGCCCUGCCUAUACAUUUACACAGAUGGGUCUUGAUCUUAAAGAGCUCAACUACAGCAGCCUGCUACAAGGAGAGUGACACUACAAAAAAUAAAUGUAGUUUUUGAAAAAAGUAAAAAAAAGCUAGUUUAUAGGACUCCCCAAAAUGUAUAAAAAUGUUUACAAGCUUUUUAUUCUAGCUGGCUAAAAUAAAUCCAUGUACUUAAGACUAUAAAUUCUUCAGGGCUGGGCCAUAUCUGUUAUAUAUUUGUACAGGAGCUAGCACAAUGAUUUGAGCCUUAAGUGCUACCCCAAUAGAAAUAAUUAUUACUGCUUUAAAACACAGUAUUAAACAGCUUUUUUCCUGAGGAGUCAGCCACAAAUGACAGUACAAAUCGUUUCAAGAUUAAUUUUUAAAAAUACAGAACCUAUAAAAAUAAUCUGUUUAAGGUACUAUUAGAUAGUAAUCCAGCUAUUACUAUGUUCUAUAGAUUAGCAUUUUUUUUUUUUAAAUGUCAAAACAAAAUCAGACAUUGCAUUUCUGCCUCUACAUUUACCAGGAUGCAAACAGACUGCCACCCAGUGGAUUAGAACCAAGUACACCAAUUCAAAGCCAGUGGAUUGAAUACAGAAUUGUUGACAAUUUUAUUUUCACUUAAAUGUGCAGGAGUUAUUUUGUUAAUAUAAUAAACUGUUCAAAUACAUGACUGCUGUUUUCACUUUUGUCUGCAAGAAAAUGUCUUGUGCCUGGAAGAUCAACAUCUGCACAAAGGCACCAUGUGUGUGUAAAGCUUUCAGAAUUACAAAAAAAAAAAAAAUUAUCUACCAAAUCGGCCCCCAGCACAGAAAUUGUUAACUGGUGUAAACAAUCACUUCAGAGAGAUUACAAUCAAAA